AGAGUUGAUCCUGGCUUAGAACGAACGCUGGUGGCGUGCUUAUACAUGCAAGCGAGCGAGGCAGCAAUGCCGAGCGGCGAACGGGUGAGUAACGCGUAAGCAAUCUGCCCCAUAUCAGGAAAUACCCGUGCCAACGCGCGGUUAAUGUCCAGGAGAGUGGCCCUCCGCAUGGAGGGUUGACUAGAGAUUCAUCGGUAUGGGAUGAGCUUGCGUCCGAUUAGCUAGUUGGCGGGGCAACGGCCCACCAAGGCGACGAUCGGUAGCCGGCCUGAGAGGUGAUCGGCCACAUUGGGACUGAGAUACGGCCCAGACUCCUACGGGAGGCAGCAGUAGGGAAUAUUGCACAAUGGGGGAAACCCUGAUGCAGCAACGCCACGUGUGGGAAGAAGCAUUUCGGUGUGUAAACCACUGUCAUGAGGGAAUAAGGCCCGCCUUCCGGACGGACCUUGAAUGUACCUUGAGAGGAAGCACCGGCAAACUUCGUGCCAGCCGCUGC
rnacentral:rRNA from 1 species